UUCACCCUCACUCUAACAUCAACAACAAACCCUAAAAUUUUCAUCUCACCACUCUCACUCACAAACCCUAAAAUUUUCAUCUCAUCACUCACAACUCAUACACUCAGACUCAUUCAACAUUCAACAAUAAAACCACCACCACCUCCAUUUCAAAGCCACCAUUGUUUCUGUUUCGAAGCCGCCACCACCGGUUCUUCUUGCGCAAAGCCUCAACACACCUCCAUCAUUUAUCUUUCUAACUAAACAAAGACUAGCCACUGGUUUCGUCGACCAUAAUACCCUCCUUCUUUUUUCCUUGUUCUUCUCAUCAACUGUAAAUGGAGAAAAGAUGUUUCGCAAACGCACAUAGGUACCAGAGCUAUUGAGCGUGCCAUUUUUUUAUGUGUAGGUAGGUCAUCAUCACUGUGAGCAAGAACAGAAAGUUCAAAUUUAUCUAAAUUUGUGAUUUCUGUUUGAUAAAGUGAGGAUAAUACAUAAUGGUUCAAUAUCAUACUAUUACAACAACUAUGGCAAUAAGUUUCAUAAUCAUUCAUUGAACAUGGUAGAGAAAAGCAAGUUGUGCAUGGAAGAUCACAAGUUGAUGAGAAUCAUAAUUUCAUCUAUAUAAUUUGUAUUGAUUUGUAAUAUUGUCAAUUAUCAAGUCAUUUGAAAUAUGCGAUAUGCUUGUAUGACAUUAAUCAAAUUUAAACCUAAUUUGAUAUUAAUAUGUAACAUGUGAAAAUUUUGAAUUUGUAGCUAUGAGAUUUAACCAUAUAA